GAUGAAACUGUAUAAUAGCAGCCCAUAAAAAGUUGUAUCAAUCACAAUUGUCUUUAUGCAUUUUUAUCCCCAUUCAGAAGAUACAAGUUUCUAUAUGAUGCAGUUCCCUUUAUGAUUAUGAAAAUUACUCUCUUUGGAAUCUGAUGGAUACCCCCAACUUGAGUAUGUGGUGCAUGUGCAUUGAACGAGAUUCAAAGUCUGGUAGUUAUUUCUGAGAAAGCUUUGCUUUCUUGAAUUUGGCCCUAUACUUCUUUCUUCUCUUGCUUGGAAUUCAAUAAGAGGUUGGAAUGGGAGUGCGCAUCUUGGAACCAU